CCAUAACUGAAGCACUCGUUAUAAAAAGGGUGAUAUUCAGGUCCCUUCUCACCGACUUUACAAGUGACUUGCUGAAUCCAUCAUCUACAGCUUAUAUAAAUCGGGCAGCGAAGAUUAAAGAACAGCUUACACCUGUCUUUCAAAGGGAAUUCCCUUCAUUCAAGUUCUUGGAAGUGAAUUCAUUCAGUAAUGGAUCGAUCGUCAACAACAUGGACCUCAGCUUUUCAAGCACAUCUGUUCCUAAUAACAAUCAGAUAGCGCAGGUCUUAAUGAGCGCAGCUGCAAGCGUCAUCGGCUUCGACAUUGAAGGCAGCUUGCUCGACCUGAAUGGCAUUCAUUCAAGUGGAGUGAGCCAUUACAUCAGUCCGAUCACUGCAUCCUUCCUUGUACUGUUGUCAUGGCGACUGUCCAGCCAAUGGUCGUAGUGCCACUCAUUUGAGAAAGGACUCCGGUGUCUUUCGUGAUUUACAGAUUUGGGUAACACGUGCAAUGAAAUUAAUGUUAAUCCUCCAUUCAAAUAGCACAAUAAUAAUAGGCAUAACAAUAUAACAUUGGGAUGUAAGGCAACAAUUGCACUAAUACUAAUUCAUCUUGCUCCAGUAAGCACUUUCCUUUGGCAUUAUUUUUCGUAGUGAAGGUUAUUUAAAUGCUAUAUGUUUUAGUUUUGGAAGUAACAAAUGCAGCUCCUUGUGGGCUACACUUUCCAACUCAGAACAAAUGCAUACUGUGUUAUAAUCAUAAUCUUUGGAUGUCAUAGCAAUGCACUGUUAAUGUUCUUAUUUAUACACACUAUUUAUUUAUAUAAUCAUGCACACUGUAUUCUGUUAGAUUUCCUGUUUGCAAAAUUA